GUUCGUAGUGACCUGCGGAGGAUCAUUAUUGAAAUAACCUGAUGAGUUGUUGCUGGCUUCUCUCUCAGGGAGCAUGUGCACACUUGUCAUCUUUAUAUCUCCACCUGUGCACCUCUUGUAGACCUGGAUAUCUCUCUGGUUGCUAGUCACUCAGGUUUGAGGAUUGACUUUAUGUCUUUCCUUACAUUUCCAGGCCUAUGUUUCUUAAUAUACCCCAAUGUAUGUAUUAGAAUGUAAUCAAAUGGGCCUUUGUGCCUAUAAAACCUAUACAACUUUCAGCAACGGAUCUCUUGGCUCUCGCAUCGAUGAAGAACGCAGCGAAAUGCGAUAAGUAAUGUGAAUUGCAGAAUUCAGUGAAUCAUCGAAUCUUUGAACGCACCUUGCGCUCCUUGGUAUUCCGAGGAGCAUGCCUGUUUGAGUGUCAUUAAUAUAUCAACCUCUUCAAAUUUAUUUGAUGAGUUGUUGGAUAUGGGGGUUUUUUUUGCUGGCCUUCUUCUGAAAGGUCAGCUCCCCUGAAAUGCAUUAGCGGAACAAUUUGUGAAUCGUUCAUUGGUGUGAUAACUAUCUACGCUAUUGACGUGAAGCAAGUUCAGCUUCUAAUGGUCCAUUAACUUGGACAAAUUAUCAUUUAAUCUGACCUCAAAUCAGGUAGGACUACCCGCUGAACUUAAGCAUAUCAUA
rnacentral:rRNA from 1 species